rnacentral:lncRNA from 1 species
GCUAACGCGCGGAGGCAGGUUCCCGCCUGCGGGCUCCGUCGCGGUGGCUGCGGCAUGGGACUCGGGGCGGGGCGGCAGUACGGGACGCGGGGCACGGGGGAGGGUCAGUGCGGAACGGGGGUGGGCAGCAUGGCGCGCGCACGCGGGAGACGGAAGCGCGGCGGCUCUUCGGCCGUUGUCAAGCGAUGAGGCGCGUCUCCCCAUUGCACAGAGGGGGCAACUGAGGCGAACGCAGGCCUCAAGGUCGCGCCGCCAGUCAAGGUCGACUGGGGUCCCGCGCCCGGACCCUACGCCUCCGCGAGCGGAAAUGGGGAUGGCGCGUCCCCGAGACCUAGGAGCAGCCUUGCGUCCGCAUUCCGCGCGGGCAAACACCACGUCGCGUCCUACCAGGCAAUGUCAGGAAGGAGGUUGCCUUUGAGCAUCGCUGUUUUCUCUAACGAGGCCGGGUGCGGUGGAUCACGCCUGUAAUUCCAGCACUUUGGGAGGCCGAGGCGGGAGGAUCACCUGAGGUCAGGAGUUCAAGACCAGCCUGGACAACAUGGUGAAACCCCAUCUCUACGAAAAAUACAAAAUUAGCUGGGCAUGGUGGUGCGCACCUGUAGUCCCAGCUACCCCCUCGGGAGGCUGAGGCAGGAGAAUCGCUGGAACCCAGGAGGUGGAGGUUGCAGCGAGCAGAGAUGGCGCCACUGCACUCCAGCCUGAGAGACAGAGACUCCGUCUCAAAUAAAUAAACAAAAAUAUAAAAUAAAAUGCACUUAUGUGACUGGUGUUUUGUUAAGAAAACCUUACAAGGGAAUUCAUAUAUCCUGGGCUGUCACUUAAGUUGCAAUAUUAAGGAUAUUAUUUAAUGUUUCUUUUUGUUUUUUUGAGACAAGGUCUCACUCUCACCUAGGCUGGAAGUGCAGUGGUGUGUUAUCGGCUCACUGCAACCUCCCCUUCCCGUGCUCGAGCAAGCGUCCCACCUUAGCCUCCCAAGUAGCUGGGACUACAGGCAUGCACCCACACCCAGCUCAUUUUGUGUGUGUGUGUUUUGUAAAGAUGGGGUUUCGCCACAUCGCCCAGGCUGGUCUCAAACUCCUGGACUCAAGCGAUCCACCCGCCUCAGCCUCCCAAAAGUGCUGGGAUUAUAGGCGUGAGCUGCUGCACCUGGACGUUGUUUAAUGUUUCUAAAACUCAGUUUCUUCAUCUGCACAACCAGGAUAGGGUUGUGGUGAGACAAAAAUGAUAAUUCAUCUGAUAGAUGAAGUACAGUUUCUGGCCUCUUGCCAUUGUUAAUAACCAUGAGCCAACGUGUUAGGAAUUUAUUUAUUUGAGAUAGGGUCUCACUCUGUUGGUUAGUCUGGAGUGCAGUGGUGCAAUCCUAGCUCACUGUAACCUCGAACUCUUGGACUGAAGCAUUCCUCCCUCCUCAACCUCCCAAAUGUCUGGGACUAAAGGCACAAGCCACUGUGCCAGCUAAUUUAAAUUUUUUUAACAGAAACUGGUUCUGGCUGUGUUAUCAGGGCUGGUCUCAAACUCCAGGGCUUAAAGGAUUCUCCCACCUUGGCCUCCCAAAGUUCUAGCAUUACAGGUGAACCGCCAUGCUCAGCCUGUGUUGGAAAUUUAGACUAUGUUGUUUUGUUCUCAUCACCAUCCCAUUAUCCCCAUUUUACAGAUGCGUAAAGUAAAGCUCUGGCUUCUUGUUCAGAGUAAUCGCUUAUGAGUGUUAGCAAAGCCAAACUGGAAACUGCUUUUUUCCCCCCCACUCCACAUCACUUCUUGCUUUGUGAUCUUAAGAAAGCCACUUGUCCUCAUCUGACACUGAAAAAAAAUGCCCAAGGCCUUCAGGCAUAAAUUCUUACCAUUUCUCUCUCCAUCCUAAAACGUAGAGCAGUUAGGAACUCCUCCAAAGAAGUAAAUGAAUGAGGCCGGGUGAGGUGGCUCAUGCCUGUAAUCCUAGCACUUUGGGAGGCAGAGGCGGGUGGAUAAUUUGAGGUCAGGAGUUCAAGACCAGCUUGGACAACAUAGUGAAACCCUAUCUCUACUAAAAAUACAAAAAUUAACUGGGCAGGGCUGGGCAUGGUGGCUCACACUGUAAUUGCAGCACUUCGGGAGGCCGAGGUAAGUGGGUCACUUGAGGCCAGGAGUUCAAGACUAGCCUGGCCAACACAGGGAAAACCCAUCUCUACUAAAAAGUACAAAAAUUAGGGCUGGGCACAGUGGCUCACGCCUGUAAUCCCAGCACUUUGGGAGACUGAGGUGAGUGGAUCAUGAGGUCAGGAGUUCAAGACCAGCCUGACAAAUAUGGUGAAACCCCGUCUCUACUAAAAAUACAAAAGUUAGCCGGGCAUGGUGGUGCGCAUCUGUAAUCCCAGCUACUCAGGAAGCUGAGGCAGGAGAAUCACUUAAGCUUGGGAGACGGAGGUUGCAGUGAGCUGAGAUCACACCACUGCACUCCAGUCUGGGGGAUGGGGUGAGAUUCCAUCUCAAAAAAAAAAAAGUAAAUGAAUGCAUGAAUGAAUAAUAAAUAGGCUGGGCGUGGUGGCUCACGCCUGUAAUGCCAGUGCUUUGGGAGGCCAAGGCAGGAGGAUCGGUUGAGCCCAGGAGUUCAACACCAGCCUGGGCAACAGAGGGAAACCCUGCUUCUACAAAAAAAUAUGUAUUUUCUUUUAUUUUUUAUUUUUAUUUGUUUGAGACAGAGUUUCGCUCUUGACGGAGUGCAAUGGCUUGAUCUCGGCUCACUGCAACCUCCGCCUCCUGGGUUCAAGCAAUUCUCCUGCCUCAGCCUUACAAGUAGCUGGGAUUACAGGCAUGCGCCAUCACUCCCGGCUAAUUUUGUAUUUUUAGUAGAGAUGGGGUUUCUCGUGUUGGUCAGGCUGGUCUUAAGCUCC